GCUUCCCCUAGAGGUGUUACAAGUGUGGCUGCUAUGUCACAUGUGCAUGUAGGUGGCAGAGAGGAGAGAGGCUAUGUCUACACUCAAUGUUCUAAUCUGUGAACAUCUGAAUUGUUAGUAUCCUAAUAUU
ensembl:snoRNA Gm24434 small nucleolar RNA SNORA17